GCAGUCUGCAACUCGACUACAUGAAGCUGGAAUCGCUAGUAAUCGCGAAUCAGCAUGUCGCGGUGAAUACGUUCCCGGGUCUUGUACACACCGCCCGUCACACCAUGGGAGUUGGUAACGCCCGAAGCCAGUGACCCAACCGGAAACGGAGGGAGCUGUCGAAGGUGGGACCGAUAACUGGGGUGAAGUCGUAACAAGGUAAC
rnacentral:rRNA from 1 species